GGUUAUGAGGGAAAACAGGCAGUGACAUCUGUCAACACAUUGAUUUCCAGGGUUGAUACAGAUGGUCUGAGCUGAUCCCUGCUCUCCCUCACACCCCAUUUGUGUGCCUUCCAAAGCUACCUGCUCAUCUACAUGGAUGACCUUCUCAAAGAGGACCAGUCAUGAAGGGUAUUUAAAGGGUGAUUUAUUUGCUAUAAUUUCUAAACCUGUUU
rnacentral:sRNA from 1 species